GUUAUUGUAGCUUAUUUUUUGCAAAAGCACGGCACUGAAGAUGCCGAGAUGGGUAAAAAAAACACCCCAAAAACA
rnacentral:tRNA from 1 species